GGUGGGUGCUGGGAAGACAAGUGGCUCAUUGCACAUAAUCACCCAAGUCUGAGCCCUCCACCCCCCACUUCUCCAACACACUCACUUAAGCUAUCUUUCCUCUUGUCAAAUCCGCUCUGAAAGGUAAUUUCUAAACUUACUUUUUUUUUUUUUUUUAAGAUUUUAUUUUUUCCUUUUUCUCCCCAAAGCCCCCCGGUACAUAGUUGUGUAUUCUUCGUUGUGGGUUCUUCUAGUUGUGGCAUGUGGGACGCCACCUCAGCGUGGUCUGAUGAGCAGUGCCAUGUCCGCGCCCAGGAUUCGAACUAACGAAACACUGGGCCGCCUGCUGCAGAGUGCGCGAACUUAACCACUCGGCCACGGGGCCAGCCCCUCUAAACUUACUUUUUAUAUGUUCCAAACGUUAAAACUGAAAGAAAAAUUUUACUACUCCAACAUUUUUUCAUUUAUCAAACAUAUUUGGACACUGUGUCAGCAACUGUGCUAUGACCUGGACGAUGUUUCUCCCUACAGAGUUCCUGACUCAGGGAGAGGCAGACAAGCCCACAGAAAGUGACUCGGGUCCUCAUUUUUCCACAUUUGUUGGUCCAUGUGUAAUCAACAGAUGAGAACAGCAUCUUUGGAAACUCAUCAUGUUAAUUUCCUAGGGCUGCUGUGACAAAGUAUCAUGAUCUGGAUGGCUUAAGGUAGCAUCACUUUACUGUGUCACGGUUCUGAAGGCUAGAAGUCUAAAAUCCAGGUGUGGGCAGGGUUGGUUCCUUCUGAGGCUGCGAGAGAGAAUCUGGCCCCCGCCGCUCUCCUGGCUUCUGGUGGUUUGCUGGCAACCUUUGGCUUGUAGAUGCAUCACUCUUCAUGUGGCUUUCUCUUUGUGUCUCUGUCUCUUCACAUUGUGCUCUCUGUCCAAUUUUCCGCUUUCCGUUGGACAUCAGUUAUACUGGGUUAGGGGCCCUAAUGAUCUCAUUUUAACUUAUCUUUGUAAAGACCCUAUUGUCAAAUAAGGUCACGUUCUGAGGUUCUGAUACUUGAGACUUCAACAGAUCUUUUUUGAGUGGGACGCAGUUCAACCCAUAUACAGAGAAAAUUUUAAAAAACUAAUUUCGAGUUCUGUACCAGGCUGUGUGGCCUUGAGCAUUUCCUUAACUCUCUGAACUGUUUCAUAAAGUACAAAAUCAGAAUAUCAACAUCUCCCUUGCGAGGUUGUUGGUAUCACAAACUUAGUUAAAGAGAUGGGGCCCUUAGCAUACACACAUUCAUGCAUACGUGUCAGUUCAAUGAUCUGUUUUAACUUAAUUUUAUCUUUAUUAAAAUGUUGUGGCCUAGGAGGUAGUAUGAUUUAUUUGGAAAAAAAUGGAAAUGUAUACGUUUUAUUUAUUCUAUAUAUCUAUAGAUAUGUAUAGAUAUCUGUAUCUAUAGAUAUAUAGAUAAAGAGAAUCUGUCUGAUUGUCUUUCUGCCUGACUAUUUGUGUGUCUGUCUGAUGAUCUGUCCAUUUGUCUAUCUAUCUGACUACCUGCCAGUCUGUUUAUCUGAACUGUCUGUCCACAUCCCUCAAUACAAGUCAAUUCGUUGGAUGAUGGAGAUCCCAAGAUGUGUAAGACACAUUCCCUCACCUUCUGGUGUUUCUAGUCUGGAGGAGAGGAGCAGAUAUACAAACAGCUAAGAAAGUCAAGGCUCUGCAGGGUUGAGAUCUUUGUCCAAGGCCUUAAGUGGAAAAGCCUCAAGUCCAGCUGAAGUCACCUUGAGCUCAAAGGCGUGCUGACCUCAAAGCUGUCUGCGCUGGACCCACCACUGCUUUCAGCUAGUGAGUGAGGACUGAAGGAGAGGCAUCACCCAGCGUAACACGCCCCAGGGGAAGUGUUGGGAGGGAGGGAUGGGGCGAUGGAUGGGGAAGGAUGGGGGGAUGGAUGGGCCGGAAGGAUGAGGAAGUGCGUGGUGGCCUGUGCACAGCAUUCUCCUUGUUUCCAAACUGUCAGGACCAAUAAUGAAUUUCAACCUUAAUAAAUUCCUGCCGUUUUGCAGAUUUUGAUUUAGCAAUGCAGCGUUGCUAAAGGUUUGACCUAAUAGUUUUAACAAAACUUCCAAGAGACCUUUCACAAGCUAUUGUGAUUAUAAAAGCUUUUCUUAAACCCUUGCAAUCCUAGUUGUUUCUGAAGGGAGAUUCCAGAGGAAUGAGCAAAGUACAAUGGAAAAAUCAGGGAUAAGUCUUUAAAUUCUUGGGGUGUAAGAAGUGGUUUUGAAGGAUAAGUAGGAGUUUUCUAGGCAAAGGAGAAGAGUGGAAAGCAAUUCCAGGCAGAGGAGAAGCUGUGUGCCAUCUCUCAGUCCUGAAUUUUCUGCUUGUGCCGGUGGCACUACCUUCUCUUACUGAAAAGGAGGGUUAGUGAGACUGCUUUGUCUGUCUUGCUUCCUGUUGUGUGCACAAGGUCAAGAGCAGAACCUGGCACAGGGUAGUCACUCAAUAAAUAAUUGUGAUGUUGAAGAAAUGGCACCCCCCACGGCCAGCAGUGACUGGCUGUAGGAAGAGCCAUUGUUAAUGCUCUUGGUUCUCACAGUGUCAACCUCUCACCACACCCGUUUCUUCUGUUUCUGCCCCCAUUCUCCUAGCAAGAUUCUGGUUUCUGAAACUAGGGCAGUAGUCUCAUAAGUAGUCUCCCCACCUUGUGUGUGCACUCACCCCAUUUAUCCCGCUCGCUGCUGGAAAGAGAAGUUACAAUACUUUCUUCCUCUGCUCAAAAGCCAUCCGUGACUCCCAUGUACCUAAUGUGCUGAGUUGAAAUGCAUCUUGGCUUUCAACACUUAUCACAAUAUGACCGCUCUACUUUUUCAACUUCAUGACUUACAUCUUAUCUCUAUAAGUUCUAUGCUCCAGCAAAAUGGAAAUGUUUCCUGUUCCCAGAUUAUGUUCUCUCUUUCCUCACCUUUAAACCUUUCCUUCAUGUGGUUCCCAGGACAUGGAAGCUCUCUCCCUUCCAAGCACACCUGUGGAGACCUGCCCAUCACCGAAGCCCACCCUUGGGCGCCACCACCUCCAUGAGGCUUUUCUGAUGAAUACUUCCUAACACUUUGUGUCUUUCGAAUGAUACUUAACAAAUUUGUCCUAGAAUUUUCUCCUCCAUAGGCAUGAUUCUAGCCCAGGUCCUGGAACAGAGUGGACAUUCUAAGAUAUGCGUGGGAUUGAGCUAAGCACCAGUUAUGCACCAAGCCCUCUGCUAGAUGUAGGGGAUCCUGCAAGGUGACCUUCUGAGGAUGAUACAAGAGAAAGAAUGAGGGAUUAUUUUGUAAAUCCAGAAGUAGUAUGCGCUAUACUCUAUAAAGUACUGUAAAAAUGAUGAUGACGAAGAUGGUGAUGAUGAUGGUGGCGGUGGUGGUGAUGAUGGUGAAUGCGCAGGAUACUCAUUCGCAUUUCUCCCUCCAGCUCUACUCUCCACCUUUCUCAUCCUGCUCUGUCCCCUGGGAGGCUGACCCCUAUGGAUUGUAUCAGCCAGGUUCCUUGCCCUGUGGCUUCCUGUUGGGUUCAGCCAAUAGAAAAUAUCAGUGGAAAAUCAGAGAGCGAGAGGAGAGAGUUUGGGUCUUUAUUCCCACAGCUCUCUCUUUAUUGGGCCUCAGUUUGAAGUGGUUGCAUUCUAAAAGUCAUAAUCCCUUUCAACUGACCCCUCCUCUAUACUUAGAGCUCCUACCAGAUUCCAGGAACCAGUGUCCCCCUUGCCCCUUCAGGACCAGAAUUGAUGACCCUCUCUUGUUCCAUUCCCAGUGUGUGCCACUUAACCCUGCCCUAAUCACCUUUACAAAACUCUCCACAAUUUCCCCUUUUCCGUAUGGCGUCUGCAUUUCUUGCCGAGACCCUGAUGGACUCAAUGACUGAUGAUGAUGGUGGUGGUGACAGUGGCUGUGAUGAUUUUCCUCCCAGCUGGUAGUCUGAGAAUCCUAAUGAGUAACUCCACACAGAGAGGCUAGAGAAUUGUGGCAGAGGCUAGCAAGAUGCUCACUGAAUUAGUUAUCUAUAACUGUGUAAUGAGUUACCCCAAAACUUAGUGGCUUAAAACAAUAAUAAUAAUUUAUUAUUUCUCAUUGUUUUUGCAGGUCAGGAAUUCAACUGGGUAGAGGAAGAGAGCUUGUUUCUGCUCCCUCGCGUCUAGGACCUCCUCUAGAAGGCUGAAAGCUCAUGUACUUACAAGUCCAGCAGUUGGUCCUGGUUGUUGGCUGGGGAACCAUUUGAGGCUGUCAGCUGGAACAUUACACAUGUGGCCUCUCCAUGUCGCCUGGGCUUCCUCACGGCAUGGGGCCUAGAGUCCAAGGAUGAGCAUUCAGAGACACAGAGAGAGGCAGCCAAGCCAAAGCCAUGCUGCCUUUUAUAACCUGACCUUGGAAGUCGUGCACUGGCACUUCCACCAUGUUCUGCUGGUAGAGGUAGUUAUAAAGGUCCAGCCAGGUUCAAUGGAGGGAACGUAUGCAGGCCCCACCUCUCGGCGGAAGAGGAUCGAUGUCUGUGAUUGAUUGUUGAUUGUAUAAUGUGGACUAAAGUAACAUAAGCCACUUCUGGAUCUAUGCAUCAGUCUCCACACGCCACCCACUCUUUCUUCCCGUGCAGUGGCAACUGUGUAUAAUAUGUGUUGAAGAUGACAAUGACACAAAAGUCGAGGAGGCUGGAUCCCUGAGUCAUCACCUGGAGGAUAACCAUCCAAUCCAUACUGACCUUCGUGAGUGUGAUAAUUAAACUUUAGUGUGUUAAUCCUCUGAGGUUUGGUAAUUGCUACAAGAAUUUUAUCCAUAUCCCCAAACUUCGUCUGAGCCCAGGUAUUUUUCUUCCUGUGUUAACAGCACGUCCACCAGGACUGCAAAUCUACGAUGAAAGCAAGGGACUAGGGGUGAUUUCUCCUGCCUCCUUUUGAUCUGUGCACCUCCCCACCGCUCCAAGUAGCAGUGAGCAGGGAAAUGACUGUGUGAAAGAGGAGAAGGAAGUCAUGGGACUGCCCAGGUCAUUGACCAACGGGAUCACUGACUUUAUACCAAAGGCCUUGGCCAAACCCGAAGGUGGAAAAUGGGCAAUGUUGACAGGGACGCAGUAAGUCUUCAGUGCUUCUUUGGACGCUCUAGGGGAAAUGGAGAUCGCGUGCUGGAAAUGAUCGGCAGGCACGUGUCUGCAGGGGCUUAGCACACCCGGAAGACACUGUCUGAAGGAGAAAGUGCGCCUGCCGUCUGUCCCAAUAAAAAGCCUGGGAAAAACACCUGCCAAGUGAUAUUUAGAACUGACAUUUUCAUAGGGAUCCAGGCAAUGGAGGGUUUUGCGGGGCCCAGAAAGCACGGUUUUCACUCUUUCUCCUCCUCAUUUUCUGUAACUGAACAAUGCGCACAGUGUUAACGUACAUUUAAAAUGACGUGCUUUAAGGAGUACAUUUUUAAAAGCUUUUUAUUUGGAAAUAGUUUUGACAAUAAUAAUGAUUUCAAUAACUACAAUUUAGUAAUAAUUGACAAUGACAAUAAUUUUAAGAAAUAAUAUUUCUUUUCUGAACCAUUUGAGAGUAAGUUGCACACAUCAUGGCUCUUUACUCCUAAAUAUUUCCUAUUUCCUCUUAAAUAUUUCAGUGUCUGUUUUCUAGGAAUAGAGAUUUUUAUGUAACUGUAGCACAGUUCUCAGUCUCAGUAAAUUUAACAUUGAUAAUAUUUUUUUCUAAUCUACCAUCAGUGUCCUGAUUUUAUCAAUAUUUUGACUUAAUAACGUACUAUUUAGCAUUUUCCCCCCUCAGCACGUGUUGUCACGUCUCUCUGAUUUCCCUUAAUCUAAAACAUUUCUACAGCCUUUAUUUGUUUUUUAUGAUAUUGAGAGUUUUGAAGAAUAACGUUUCUCGUUGUCACUUGUUCUGUUUCCUCGUGAGUGGAUCCAGGCUGCGCCUCCCCGGCCGACAUCCACAGAUGAGGCCGGAUCCUGCCCAGGGCCUCGCCUCAGGCGCACAGCCUCCGUUUCCUCUCGAGGCUGAUGUCGUUGUUAAUCAUGAAGGGCAAUGACGUCUGUAAAACUCUUAAGAAGAAGAGGCCUCUGAAGGUAUAAUUCUCUGAAAGCUAUUUUCUAAGUUCAAGUCUGUGGCCUUUCAGUCUCUAAGAAGGAAAUACUGGGUGUGAAUGUUUUCGUCUGGGAUACAGCCGGGCAGCUCUGUCCAGAGGGCAGACUGUGCUUCUGACCUGGAUCCUUGGGAUGCUGCUGGUUCUCCACUUCAGCCUGGGAGGGAAGACCAGGUCUGGACCCGUGCACAGGCAAACGCCAUGCCAAGCUGGGGUUUAGGCACCAAAGGAGGCCCAACUGGUGGUGCUAAGGUUUGGGAAACGGAAGCCCAGACUCUGUGUUUAUUCUCCAUCAAUUGGAAAAUUCCUGAAGGAGAACUUUGGCUGGAAAACGUCUGAAUAGGUGGAUGUCUCUGCUCUCUCGCCAUGGGUGCCGUCCUGUCUGAGGUUUUCGUAUCCUGAUGGGGGAAGAAGCAGACGGGGCGCUCUCUCCACUGUCACGGAUGCCGAGUGGAGAGGAGAGGCUACUACGUAGUCUCAGAGUCAGAAAAGAUCUUGAUACACUGGGCCUUUCCAGGAUGAAAGUCUACGCUGAGCAUCACACAUAACCUUGUGUAUUUCCUUGGUUCCAAGAGGCUUUCCUCUACCUUUUACUGUUUCUGGCCUUUGGAUGCAUCCUACACUCUGUGUCAAAGGCAACUAGCUGUUUAAUAGGUACGGUUGUUGUAAAUAGAAAAUCUACCCAUAUGCAGACAAAGGUUCAACUAAUUGUUGCCUUGUUCCUCCUCCACCAUUGGUUGCACUACACAGGAAUCUAUUUUCAUCAAUGUAUAAUUUACAUACGCUAAACUAUGUCCUUCUUGUUGUACAGUUCCAGGAGUUUUGACAAAUGCAUACGGUCAUGUAACUAACACCAAAAUCAAGGUACAGAACAGUUUCACCCCCCAAAAGAGUUCCCUUGUGCCCUUUGUAGACAAACGCUCCUGCUUAGCCGCUGGCAAUCACUGAUCUGUUUUCUAUCCUUGUAGUUUUGCCUUUUCCAGAAUGUCAUAAAGAUGGGAGUAAAUUUAUGUAGCCUCUCUGUGUCUGGCUUCUUUUGCUCAACCAAUGCAUUUGAAAUGAAUCCAUGUUGUCCAUGUAUUCAUGGUCUGUUCCUUUCUACUGCUGAGUAAUAUUCCACUGCAGAGAUGUCCACACAAUGUUUACUCAUUCAUCAUUUAAAAGACAUUUGUGUUGUUUUCAGUUUGGGGCUAUUAUGAAUAAAGCCAUUAUAAACAUUCACGUCCAAGUUUUUGUGUGAACAUAUGUGUUCAUUUCUCCUGGGUAAAUGGUUAGGAGGAAGAUUUCUGGCUCACAUGGUAAGUGUAUGUUUAACUUUGCAGGAAACUGCCCAACUGUUUUCCAAAGUUGUCCUACCAGCUUGUGCUCCCAGCAGCAAUGCAUGAGAGCACUGCAUCGUGGGACUGUCAGCAUUUUUAGCUGUUCAAAUAUGGGCAUAUUGGUAUCUCAUGCUGGUUUAAACUUACCUUUCUCUAGUGACGAACGAUGCUGAACACGUUUUUUAUGAUGAUUUGUUCAUAUAUCUUCUUUGACAAAGUGUCUGUUCAAACUUUUUUUUUUUUGAGGAAGAUUAGCACUGAGCUAACAUCUGCUGCGAAUCCUCCUCUUUUUGCUGAGGAAGACUGGCCCUGAGCUAACAUCCGUGCCCGUCUUCCUCUACUUUAUAUGUGGGAAGCCACAGCAGGGCUUGCCAAGCGGUGCCAUGUCUGCUCCCAGGAUCCGAACCAGCAAACCCAGGGCUGCCAAAGCUGAACAUGCGAACUUAACCACUGCACCACUGGGCCUGCCCUGUUCAAAUUUUUUAUUGGAUUAUUUGUUUUCUUUUUAUUUAAUUUGGAAGUCUUUUACAUAUUUUAGAUAAGUUCUUUAUCUGAUAUGUGUUUUGCAAAUACUGUCCCCUAGUGUGUGGCUUGCUUUUUAAUUUCUUAACAGUGUCUUUUUAAGAACAAUUUUUCAUUUUGGUGAAGUCCAAUUUAUCAACUUUUUUCUUUCAUGUGUUACAUUUUUUGUAUCAUAUUUAAGGAAUAUUUGUCUAAUCCAAAGUCUUAAAGAUUUUCUGCUGUUUUCUUCUAGAAGUUUUAUAAUUUUACAUUUAGGUUUAUGAUCGAUUUUGAAUUUGCUUUUAUACAUGGUAUGAGAUAUAGAUUAAAGUUGUGUAUAUUUACCAUGGUGAGCUUUUUUAGUUGUUUUCCUGCAAAGGUAAUAUUAAAUCAAGGAUGCGUCUUACAAAUGAUAGAGUCUUCAACUGAAAGAAGUACAAGAAAUACAAGACUGGC
ensembl:lncRNA